rnacentral:rRNA from 1 species
ACCCGCUGAACUUAAGCAUAUCAGUAAGCGGAGGAAAAGAAACUAACUAGGAUUCCCCGAGUAGCGGCGAGCGAAAGGGGAGAAGCCCAGCGCCGAAGCCCGCCGUCCUCCGACGGCCGUGCAAUGUGGCGUUUCGGCGGCGACUAGCUGCGCUCUGCCCUGGCACGAGUACCUCUGAAUGGGUCUGCCCGCAGCGGGUGUCAGGCCUCUACUUGCCAGGUGGGGCGGACGUGGCACGUCGUCGUCGCGGAGUCGGGUUGCUUGAGAGUGCAGCCCAAAGUGGGUGGUAAGCUCCAUCUAAGGCUAAAUACCUAGUGCGAGACCGAUAGCAAACAAGUACCGUGAGGGAAAGUUGCAAAGAACUUUGAAAAGAGAGUUCAAGAGUACGUGAAACCGUUCAGAGGCAAACGGACGGAACUGGGCGAGUUCGUCGUCGUCAUUCAGCCGUCGCGUUCUCGCGGCGGUGCACUUGGCGGCGGCGGAGCGCGACGACCGUCUGCCGGGUCGUCAGAAGCACGGCGGCAAGGUGGCGACGCGCUCGCGCGUCGUGUUAUAGGCCGCCGCUGCGUUGGCUGACUUGGCGGGCGAGGAGCGCCUGCGGUGCACUCCCCUCCGCGGGAGUGGCCCGACGUGGUGGGCUUGCGGACGCCGGCGCCGAACUGCUCGCAGUUUGAUGUCGCGCGCGCCGUCUGUCGCGCCGCGCGGUGCCACGGGGCACCCAGGGUCCGGGUCGUGUGGUUCCUGGCACUCCGUCCGACCCGUCUUGAAACACGGACCAAGGAGUUGAGCACGCGCGCAAGUCGAUGGGCAUCAAGAACCCCAGUGGCGCAGCUAAGGCAAAACGGGCGUGAUCCGGCACUGGCGUGUCGGCGCAACGCCGGCCCGCGGCCGACUCGAUGCGAGUAGCCGCGGCGCAAGAGCGUGCGUGCUCAGACCCGAAAGGUGGUGAACUAUGCUUGAGCAGGGCGAAGCCAGAGGAAACUCUGGUGGAGGCUCGCAGCGAUCCUGACGUGCAAAUCGGUCGUCAAACUUGAGCAUAGGGGCGAAAGACUAAUCGAACCGCCUAGUAGCUGGUUCCCUCCGAAGUUUCCCUCAGGAUAGCUGGCACUCGGGAUAAAUGGUUUUAUCCGGUAAAGCGAAUGAUUAGAGGCAUUGGGGACGAAACGUCCUCAACCUAUUCUCAAACUUUAAAUGGGUAAGAGGCGCGGCCCUUCCUGAUCGGGGCCGCGUGCUUGAACAGAGAGUGCCCAGUGGGCCGUUUUUGGUAAGCAGAACUGGCGCUGUGGGAUGAACCAAACGCGCGGUUAGGGUGCCUAACGCACGCUCAUGAGACACCACAAAAGGUGUUGGUUGAUAUAGACAGCAGGACGGUGGCCAUGGAAGUCGGAAUCCGCUAAGGAGUGUGUAACAACUCACCUGCCGAAUCAACUAGCCCUGAAAAUGGAUGGCGCUGGAGCGUGCGACCCAUACCGCGCCGUCGGGGCAAUGCGUGCGAAAUGCCAGGCCCCGACGAGUAGGAGGGCGUGUCGGUGGCGUUGAAGCGUAGCGCGUGAGCGCGCGUGGAGCCGCCUUCAGUGCAGAUCUUGGUGGUAGUAGCAAGUAUACAAAUGAGAACUUUGUAGACCGAAGUGGAGAAGGGUUCCAUGUGAACAGCAGUUGGACAUGGGUCAGUCGGCCCUAAGAGAUCGGAGAAUUCCGUUCUGAACGGGGGGAGACGCGUCGUGGCGGCCGUCAGAUCAUGCUCAUGCUAUGUUGGUAAGAGUGAGUGCGGCGCGCGCACGCACGCGCAUGUCAAACCCCGAUGCGAUCGAAAGGGAAUCGGGUUAAUAUUCCCGAACCUGGCAGUGGAGAUUGGGCCCUCGGGCCCCAGUGCGGUAACGCAACCGAACUCGGAGACGCCAGCGUCGAUCCCGGGAAGAGUUCUCUUUUCUUUGUUAGGAGCGGACUCCCUGGAAUUGGCUUGUCCAGAGAUAGGGACGUUGCAUCCGUAAAGCGUCGCGCCUCAUGCGGCGUCCGGUGCGUCGGCGUUGGCCCUUGAAAAUCCGAGGGAGGCAGUGUAAUUUUCACUCCAGGCCGUACCCGAAUCCGCAGCAGGUCUCCAAGGUGAACAGCCUCUGGUCGAUAGAACAAUGUAGGUAAGGGAAGUCGGCAAAUCCGAUCCGUAACUUCGGGAUAAGGAUUGGCUCUGAGGUGCGGGCUGCUUCGGGUCGCGGCAGGAAGCGGGCCGCGCGUUGGUUGGACUGGACGCGUUCGCGCGCGUUCGGACCGCCGCCAGCGCGCGUCCGUGGGAGGCCGUGGCUUUCGCCGGCGUGGGCUUGCGCUCGCGUCGGCUUCGUUCGGCCUAAACGCACAGCACAGAACUGGCACGGACUCUGGGAACACGACUGUCUAAUUAAAACAAAGCAUCGCGAUGGCCGCUGGUCGGUGUUGACGCGAUGUGAUUUCUGCCCAGUGCUUUGAAUGUCAAAGUGAAGAAAUUCAACCAAGCGCAGGUAAACGG